ACAAACACUCAAACCUCGUGUAAUCAAUGUACACCGUGAUGCUUGAUUGCGAUAUGCUUACCUCGUGUAUCGAUACAUUGUUCUCAAUCACCUCUAACACGGAAAUCCCGGUCGAAAUCUACCUGAGCCAUCCACAACGAGGACGUCAAGUAUUUCGAAAACUCGAUUGACAGCCGAAGGAGGAGCAGCUUGCGGAUGCCAGCAUGUUCAGGGUUUGUGGGGAGGUUCACAGACAUCCUCAGGGGGAUACAAAGUAUUGAAAUGUCCGGAUGAAUAAAAGAGACAGUCAUCUGUGCAGCAUCAAUGCAAUGAAAGACCA